rnacentral:rRNA from 1 species
UACGUAGGGUGCGAGCGUUGUCCGGAAUUAUUGGGCGUAAAAGAGCUUGUAGGCGGUUUGUCGCGUCUGCUGUGAAAAUCCGGGGCUUAACCCCGGACCUGCAGUGGGUACGGGCAGACUAGAGUGUGGUAGGGGAGACUGGAAUUCCUGGUGUAGCGGUGAAAUGCGCAGAUAUCAGGAGGAACACCGGUGGCGAAGGCGCCACUCUGGGCCGAAACUGACGCUGAGGAGCGAAAGCGUGGGUAGCAAACAGG